AGAAUGCACAAACGUGCCUUCCGGUUCUUUGUUUGUUCGAUCAUAAUUUACAAGUGUAGAGCGAGAAAGAGUGAGCAGAGUAGUGAUCAACUUCUUUAAGAUGAAAGAGGCUCUGAUUGGUCAUUUAUUUUAGUCAGAAUUCAUUCCUUGUUACUUCAUCAGUCAAAUUUUGAUUUUAUUUUCUAGACCUUUAAGAAUCAGCGGUGUUUGAAGGGUGAAGCUGUCAUGAUUUCUAGAACAUCAGGAAAUAUCACAGCAGCAGUGAUCCUCAUAUUACUGACAGGGGUUCAGGCUCAUUACAGUGUAACUCUCUCCUCUCAGAGUCUCUGUUCUGUUACUGGAUCUACAGUAAAAAUCUCCUGUAAAUAUACAACAGCUGAUUCCUCCAGAGUCAGAGAGAGAGAGUGGUAUCAGUUCCAGAACUCUGAUGGAGAAGAACGAGUCCUGAGUAAAGAUCCUGAAUACUCAGCACGAGUUUCUGUAAGUACAUGGUGGAAUGACUGUGAUCUGACAGUGAGGGAUGUGAGACUGAGAGACUCUGGAGUUUAUAACUUCAGAUUUAGAACAUCAAGCAGUGGCUGGAUAUCAGCUUCAUCUGGAGUUAAUCUGACUGUUACAGAGUUGCAGGUGAAGGUGGAUCGUAAGACUGCAGGACAGAGAAAGGUGAAAGUGAUCUGUAGCUCCACCUGCAGCCUUGAUGCAAGUCUUAACUAUGACUGGUACAGAAAUGAAGUAUACAAGGCCUAUACAGAUG